AGCUAUCACCGAGUGAUAGAAUAAAUGAAUGGCUGCUACGUGCAUGGGAUUCUGAAGAAUGGAGAGGCAGUGGACGUUUCAGUUGUCUGUGGUCACCUGAAGUCCCGAAGCAGCGGAUCCUCCUGACAGAUCUUCAGAAGGUCCAGGUUAGCCUAACGCUGUGUCACAAUGCCUGUCACUCACCUCACUUCAUCUCAUCAGGAAACCAGUAGGACUCAUCAAC